GACGAACGCUGGCGGCGUGCUUAACACAUGCAAGUCGAACGGAAAGGCCCUGCUUGCAGGGUACUCGAGUGGCGAACGGGUGAGUAACACGUGGGUGAUCUGCCCUGCACUUCGGGAUAAGCCUGGGAAACUGGGUCUAAUACCGGAUAGGAGCCAUUUUUAGUGUGAUGGUUGGAAAGUUUUUUCGGUGUAGGAUGAGCUCGCGGCCUAUCAGCUUGUUGGUGGGGUAAUGGCCUACCAAGGCGGCGACGGGUAGCCGGCCUGAGGGGGUGGACGGCCACAUUGGGACUGAGAGACGGCCCAGACUCCUACGGGAGGCAGCAGGGGGGAAUAUUGCCCAAGGGGCGCCAGCCUGAUGCAGCGACGCCGCGUGGGGGAUGACGGCCUUCGGGUUGUAAACUCCUUUCGCUAGGGACGAAGCUUUUUGUGACGGUACCUAGAGAAGAAGCACCGGCUAACUACGUG
rnacentral:rRNA from 1 species